rnacentral:rRNA from 1 species
CCUACGGGAGGCAGCAGUGGGGAAUAUUGGGCAAUGGAGGAAACUCUGACCCAGCAACGCCGCGUGAAGGAUGAAGGUUUUCGGAUUGUAAACUUCUGUCGCGAGGGAUGAAGAAUGACGGUACCCCGUAAGAAAGCCCCGGCAAACUACGUGCCAGCAGCCGCGGUAAUACGUAGGGGGCGAGCGUUGUCCGGAAUGACUGGGCGUAAAGGGAGUGUAGGCGGCAUAUUAAGUUAUGUGUGAAAGCCCGAGGCUCAACCGAGGAAUUGCACGUAAAACUGGUAAGCGGGAGUGCAGGAGAGGUAAGUGGAAUGCCCAGUGGAGCGGGGGAAUGCGGAGAUAUCGGGAGGAACACCAGAGGCGAAGGCAAGUGUCCGGGGUGCAACUGACGCUGAGGCUCGAAAGUGCGGGUAUCAAACAGGAUUAGAUACCCUAGUAGUC